GCACUGUACCGUAAAUGUAAUUAUUGACAUCUACAUACCUGUGGCUUUUAAUUGUGUAUUUCACUUGCAAUUUCAGUCUAACUGCAAUAUGUGGAGAAGUUUAAUAAAUCUUUUGAAGAGGACUAUCGCGUAAACCUCUUUUUCCAAUUACUCGAUAAGGAAUUCGUAUACUUUUGGUAGAGAUGCCUCUUGGAAAUUUGAAGGAGAAAGGCUAAUGUUUCGAUUAAAAUAAAAUAAGGAACAUAGAUCCCACGGCUUGGUUCAUACGCUGUUUAUGACGAGGAUAUGAUGCAUAAAUACUUUAAUUAUCCCCUACUGUCUCAAAUUAUUGCAUAGGUUCCGCACAAUAGUUCCGUUUCAAACCAUUGGGCAAGGAUUAUUAAUGUAGUGAUCAAGCUUUACGAUAUGUUUGGAGGGUGGUAUAUAAAUGGGAAGUUCGCCAAAGCUAAGUUCAUUUCUAGAGAAUAACAGUGGACGCGAUAACAGCUAACGCGAGGUUCGGAUAUUGAGCUAAAUAUGGAUUUUAAAAUCUUCAUCUUCACAUUGGUGGUGUGUAUUGCUGUUACUAUGGCAACCUUUCCCCUGAUUGACGAGGAAUGGAAUGCAGAUGACCUGUUCGAUGAUUUCGAGGAGGAAAAAAGGGGCGAACCGCCCAUUGCAGGACCGGAAGUAAAUUUCUUAGAUGUCGUGGUGAAGAGGGCGAAGCCAUUUUUAUGCGUGAAUCCAGAAAACCAAUACUGCUGGUGUGACUACAGAUUUAAAGACGAAAGGCGUUAUUCGGCUUGCGGGCUACGGGCGGUAUUGGGUAAUACGGACGACGAUUGAGGAACAUUUCAAAACCUGGGUCCUGACAGAAAUCAUCUUGAAAGAACUAGUUUCGAGUAUUGUUAUAAAGACUGAAGUCAUAUUCUUGAACAUUUCAUCGAAAUUCACGUACGAGAGAAUUCAUGUAAAAUUUCUGUAUUCAAUAUUCAAAUGUAACAUUCUUGUUAUUUAUAUGGUCAUUUGUGUGAACUUUUGAUGUAUAGAACAACAAGCUAUGAUGUUAUGGGCAAAAGGUUAAAUUUUACUUAUUCUAUCAUGUUAAUGUCAAUUUCGUUUUAGCAAUUGCAUUCAACUGGAAAACAGAGAUAGGUCUGAACGGUGAUGAUGAUCGUGGUUAAGAAAAACAAAAUCUUAAUCACCAGACAUUAUUGAUUCAAUAACAUUUGAAGAUAUGUACAAAAAGGACUUGUGGUGAUAGAACAUUCUUCACUGCUUCAACCCGUCUCUCGAACUCUCUUUCCCACACAAUAUUAAAUCUCACAGUCUCUUUAGUCAUUCUAAAGAAACUUGCAAA